UGCCAUCGCAUUUCAGCAGGUGGAGAGAGU
rnacentral:piRNA from 1 species